rnacentral:rRNA from 1 species
UACGUAGGUGGCAAGCGUUGUCCGGAAUUAUUGGGAGUAAAGCGCGCGCAGGUGGUUUCUUAAGUCUGAUGUGAAAGCCCACGGCUCAACCGUGGAGGGUCAUUGGAAACUGGGGAACUUGAGUGCAGGAGAGAAGAGUGGAAUUCCACGUGUAGCGGUGAAAUGCGUAGAGAUGUGGAGGAACACCAGUGGCGAAGGCGACUCUUUGGCCUGUAACUGACGCUGAGGUGCGAAAGCGUGGGGAGCAAACAGG